rnacentral:rRNA from 1 species
AGAUUGAACGCUGGCGGCAGGCCUAACACAUGCAAGUCGAGCGGCAGCACGGGUACUUGUACCUGGUGGCGAGCGGCGGACGGGUGAGUAAUGCCUAGGAAUCUGCCUGAUAGUGGGGGAUAACGUUCGGAAACGGACGCUAAUACCGCAUACGUCCUACGGGAGAAAGUGGGGGAUCUUCGGACCUCACGCUAUCAGAUGAGCCUAGGUCGGAUUAGCUAGUUGGUAGGGUAAAGGCCUACCAAGGCUACGAUCCGUAACUGGUCUGAGAGGAUGAUCAGUCACACUGGAACUGAGACACGGUCCAGACUCCUACGGGAGGCAGCAGUGGGGAAUAUUGGACAAUGGGCGAAAGCCUGAUCCAGCCAUCGCCGCGUGUGUGAAGAAGGUCUUCGGAUUGUAAAGCAACGUUUUUAAGUGGGAGGAAGGCUAUUAACCUAAUACGUUAGUGUUUUGACGUUACGACAGAAUAAGCACCGG